GACAGAGGGUGCAAACGUUGUUCGGAUUUACUGGGCGUAAAGCGCGUGUAGGCGGCUUUGCAAGUCGGGUGUGAAAGCCCUCAGCUUAACUGAGGAAGUGCGCCCGAAACUGCAGAGCUUGAGUACCGGAGAGGAUGGUGGAAUUCCCCAAGUAGAGGUGAAAUUCGUAGAUAUGGGGAGGAACACCGGUGGCGAAGGCGGGUCUCUGGGCAAUAACUGGACGCUGAGGAGCGAAAGCGUGGGGAGCGAACAGG
rnacentral:rRNA from 1 species